rnacentral:rRNA from 1 species
AGCGAACGCUGGCGGCAGGCCUAACACAUGCAAGUCGAGCGCCCGGAGCAAUCCGGGAGCGGCAGACGGGAGAGUAACACGUGGGAACGUACCCUUUGGUUCGGAACAACACAGGGAAACUUGUGCUAAUACCGGAUAAGCCCUUACGGGGAAAGAUUUAUCGCCAAAGGAUCGGCCCGCGUCUGAUUAGCUAGUUGGUGGGGUAACGGCCCACCAAGGCGACGAUCAGUAGCUGGUCUGAGAGGAUGAUCAGCCUCAUUGGGACUGAGACACGGCCCAAACUCCUACGGGAGGCAGCAGUGGGGAAUAUUGGACAAUGGGCGCAAGCCUGAUCCAGCCAUGCCGCGUGGGUGAUGAAGGCCCUAGGGUUGUAAAGCCCUUUCGGCGGGAAGAUAAUGACGUACCGCAGAAGAAGCCCGGCUAACUUCGUGCCAGCAGCCGCCGU